GCUGGCGGCGUGCUUAACACAUGCAAGUCGAACGAUCCCGGGACUUCGGUCCCAAUGGGAUAGUGGCGAACGGGUGGGUAUCACGUGAGAAACCUACCCCGAAGAUGGGAAUAGCCCAAGGAAACCUGGAUUAAUACCCAAUAAUCUGUAAUCACCGCCUGGUGAACUCAGCAAACGCUCCGGCGCUUCGGGAGGGUCUCGCGGCCUAUCAGCUAGUUGGUGAGGUAAUGGCUCACCAAGGCAUCGACGGGUAGCUGGUCUGAGAGGACGAUCAGCCACACUGGGACUGAGACACGGCCCAGACUCCUACGGGAGGCAGCAGUGGGGAAUCUUGCGCAAUGGGCGAAAGCCUGACGCAGCAACGCCGCGUGGGGGAUGAAGGCUCUCGGGUCGUAAACCCCUUUCAGCAGGGACGAAAAUGACGGUACCUGCAGAAGAAGCGCCGGCCAACUACGUGCCAGCAGCCGCGGUAAUACGUAGGGCGCAAGCGUUGUCCGGAUUUAUUGGGCGUAAAGAGCUCGUAGGCGGUUUGGUAAGUCGGGUGUGAAAACUCAGGGCUCAACCCUGAGACGCCACUCGAUACUGCCAUGACUAGAGUCCGGUAGAGGAGUGUGGAAUUCCUAGUGUAGCGGUGAAAUGCGCAGAUAUUAGGAGGAACACCAACAGCGAAGGCAGCACUCUGGGCCGGUACUGACGCUGAGGAGCGAAAGCGUGGGGAGCGAACAGGAUUAGAUACCCUGGUAGUCCACGCCGUAAACGUUGGGCACUAGG
rnacentral:rRNA from 1 species